AAUAUUGGGACAUAUAAAAAAAACACAACUCUGUUCCGCAGAGUAGCUGUUGACAUUAUAGUUGCGCAGGAACUUUGUUGACUCUAGAGAACCUCGGGCAAAUCACACAUCCCCGUGGCGGCGACUUUGCAUGCAGAUGUCAUCCAUAUCAACUUUCGAUCUAAGUUUCUGCGCCUACCAUGGUGACCACGGGUAACGGGGAAUCAGCAUUCCAUUCCGUACAGGGUCCCUGGGAAAUGGUUACCACAUGCAAGGAAGGCAGCAGGCGUGCAAAUGACCCACUCCCGACGCGGGAAGGUAGUGA
rnacentral:rRNA from 1 species